GUAUAAAUCUGAUCUGUUUUGGUUUCCAAUUUGCAGGGCAAAUUUCUGGUCUGGAAAUUUAUGGGUAGAUUUCUUCCCGAAAUACCCAGUCAUAAAUUCAGCAGCCUGUUUAAAAGCAGAUGGGAUUGGCAUGUAGCUUCGAUGGCCAGGUCACUGGAUUUUUUCCAGUUCUUUUUCUUCGACUCUGGCAUCUCCUGGUACCGUGAUGUCAAUAAAUUGUACAUUUUGGUUUUCGACAACUGUGUGAUAUCUGGCGUGUUGUGUUCCAAGUGACGAUCCAUCUGUAUUCAAAAGUCCCACAAGAUCUUCACCUUCUCAUUUUCUAUAACUUUUUCCACUUUAUGUUCCCAUGACUUUUUGGAUACAGCAACUCGAGUUCCAGGUUCCAUAAAUCUGACAAUUAAAGAUGCCGACUCUCCUAUCAAUGCCACUUCUAAUGACAAACAAGGCAACAUGUUUUGAGCAUCUAUCAUUUUUGUGCCUUCAUUAAAUUUG